AUGUCUGCCAAGGCCGGCAAGCCCCUGGUCCAGACCGACGCGGGGGCAUACGCUUGGUCAGGUGCCGACCAGCCGGAGCUCGCAACGGAGGGGCUCGGGUGUGGCCUUCUCGUGCUGAGGCCCCUCGGCUUCGCGCUGCCGCACUACGCUGACUCCAACAAGUUCGGCUACGUCCUCAGUGGCUCCGGGGUGGCUGGGGUCCUUCCGGUCGAGGCCAAGGAGAGGGUCGUCCGCCUGAAGGCCGGCGAUGUUAUCGUGGUGCGCACGGGGGACGUCUCGUGGUGGUACAACGACAACGACGGCCACGCUGAUGAUUUGUCCAUCUUGUUCAUAGGAGACACGGCUCGCGCCCUCAGCCCCGGGGACAUCUCAUACUCUUCUGUCGCCGGCGGCAACAGCGUCGUGAGCGGCCUUGACGCGGGCCUCCUCACCAGGGCUGGUGUGACGGAGGAGCAGGCGGCCACCGCGUUCCGGAGCCAGACGGCCGUCCUCCUCACCAGGCUGAGCACGAAGCUGCCCGGCGUAUGCCCGCGCGAGCACGAUAGGAAAGGGCUCGUCGUGAACGCCGGCCACGUCGCCGCAGGGACCCUGAAGACGCUCACCCCGUCGGAUCUGGCCGCGCUGAGCGGCCUCGGGUUCAGCGCGAUGCUCGGGCGGCUCGAGCCCGGUGCCGCGAGGCCACCGUGAGUGCUCCGCGAAGGAGCGGCGCAUGCGGUGUACGUGGCACGCGGGAGCGCGCGCGUCCAGGUCUCGUCUGCCGCGGGCGGCGACACGCUGCUGCUGGACGAGGAGGUCCCCGCGGGGAGCUUGUUCGUUGUGCCACGGUUCGCCGUUGCGCUCGUCGCCGCCGGCGCUGAUGGUGCGGAGUGGGUCUCGCUGAUCAAGAGCGGCAGGCCGGCGGUGGAGCACCUGACCGGGGAGGGCUUGAUUUUCGGCGGCCUGACUCCACAGGUGGUGCAGGCAUCGCUGAAAGUGGCGCCAGAGCUGUUGAAGCUGCUCUGA
rnacentral:rRNA from 1 species